AGCCAGCUCUCUCCAGACCCAUCGCUUACCCCCUGAAAGCUGAGCUUUUCCCAGCCCCAAAUCUGGAGGAGGGAGGAAAUUCCUCUGUGCUGCUGGGGCAGUAUGGGGAAAAUGAGACUCCCAGCGUGUGUGGUUUGGCCUUUACCCAGACUUCUUGGGGUCUGUGAGCUGCCCGAGCACAGCUGCUAGAUUGCGUGCAGCCAGCACCAGGCCGCCAAUGGGCGAUUCCUCGCUGCCUCUUUUUCUUUGGUCCUCUGGCUGCUUAGAUCUGCUGGAAACAGUUAAUCACUGAAACUGAUCUCAGCUGCUGUCCGAGGCAGGUAGACACGUGCUUGUGUGCCAAAGGGCAGGAGCUGUUGUUACUGCUGAAAUGGAACCGGGGCAGCUGGGUGUAAGCGUGGUGCUGGCCGCCCACAGCCAGCACGGUCAGGUUAUGAGGAAUAAGGCAGCAAUGCUAUGCCUGGAAUUACCCUGACACAGCAAUUCAGACCAUGCUGUUCCUGAGGCUCUUGGAAAUUGGAAUGGACUAACCCAUGAAACACAUUAAGGUAGGACUGGCUGUGUGUGACAUUAUUUUUGGAGUAGAUUUCCUCCUCCACUUUUAAUUCACAUGCUGCUUUGCUUUGCAUUACUGCCACAUCCGGACAAGUUCUUACAUACAAGCUCAGCAAAAGAAAAAAAAAAUUACUCACCUCCAUUUAAAGAGAUAUAAAAAUUAAGGUUGUUCUUUAUGGAAACACAAAAUCUGACCUUUGGUCUGAACACUGCAGCUUAACCAGUUCCUACCAGGGUGUAAGAAACUUCACAGAAUGGCUAGCUUUAUUUGUAACAAGACAUUUUGUUUUAAAUCGAGCACUUCAACUCGGAGCCCCUGCUUCCUGUUGCAGUUGUCAGAUAACAUCUUUUAACUUAGAGCUAGAAAUGAAAACCCCAACUUGAUUUAAAUUGUUGUGACCUACGGCUAGUUAAGCAUGGUGAGAAAUACACACUAAAUAAUG